ensembl:lncRNA
AUGCUGUUUACAACAGUGAGGUGAGGAAUGCCAUAAAGAGGAUCAAAGAAAAGAGAAAGGCCUUAUCUUUCACGAACUGCUCCCAGCCAACCAGCUUCCUACCUUCUCAGAGGACCCCGAUCACUUCCUGGGGCCACAGCCUACCGACGACCUCCAGCCCUGAGACCAGUGAGACGUCUGUACCUGCCGGCACUACUUCCACAUCCAUGGUCAUCAAGAACGAGAGUUUCAGAAAGGAGAGCUUUGUGAGUUUCUUUUUGAACCCAGGAUCCGGAAACCAAGUGGUACAGCUGACGGGGUUCAAGCCAUCAGGUUGUUGAACUACAAAUGGAGUGGAACCUACACUCAGUAUCUACACACGCAUCUUCACCAUCGUCAUGACGCUGAAAAAUGGAUGAAGAUGAAGCCCCGAUGCCGUCACUGUCCUCUUCUCAGAUCUCAUCAGAAUCCGUCUGAUAGUUUAGUCAUUUGAUGUCUGGCAAAUGUUGGACUGAAGAGGCUUUUAAAUCCCAGGACACGCAGUCCACACACAAAAAUGUGCUCUGUUCACUGUUGUUGCUCCAGAACAAUGUGCCC